rnacentral:rRNA from 1 species
UACGGAGGGUGCGAGCGUUGAUCGAAAUUACUGGGCGUAAAGCGCAUGCAGGUGGUUUGUUAAGUCAGAUGUGAAAGCCCGGGGCUCAACCUCGGAAUUGCAUUUGAAACUGGUAGGCUAGAGUACUGUAGAGGGGGGUAGAAUUUCAGGUGUAGCGGUGAAAUGCGUAGAGAUCUGAAGGAAUACCGGUGGCGAAGGCGACCCCCUGGACAGAUACUGACACUCAGAUGCGAAAGCGUGGGGAGCAAACAGG